rnacentral:rRNA from 1 species
GGGGGUAAAAUUAAUAAAUAUAAUAAAAAUAAUAAAAAAAAUUUUAGUUAAAAAUAUAUAAUGGGGGUUAAAGUAUUUUUAAUGGAAAAAAUUAAUAGAUUUAUAGUAUAAUAGUAUUGUGAAAGAAAUUUUAAAUAAAUUAAAUAUAAAAAUUAAAAUAAAGUAAAUUUAAAUUAUUGUAUCUUGUGUAUCAGAGUUUAUUAAAUAAAAAUUUUUAUUUAAAAAAUUCUCGAAUUUAAAAGAGUUAAUUAAUUAAAAAAGUUAAUGUUGAAUAAUUAUUUUAAAUAAUUAAUUAGAAAUGAAAUGUUAAUCGUUUUUAAAUAUAUCUAGUUUUUUUAGAAAAAAAUUUAAUUUUGAAAUUAAAUAAUUUUAUAAUUAAUUAAUUAAUUAUGGGAAAUUUAAAAUUUAAUAUAUUAAGGGAUAAGCUUUAAAUUAAAAAAUUAUAAUUAUUGAUUAUUAAUUAAAAUUUUUAAAAUUUAUAUUGUUUAGAAAUUAUAAUUUAUUAUAAAAAAUUUUAAUUAAAUUAAAAUUUAAAAAUAAAAUUUAAUUUUUUAUAAAAAAAUUAUUUUUAAUAAUAAAGAAUUAGAAAUAAUGAUAAAAUUAGUAUAUUAUAAAUUAAAAAUUAUAAAUUUAAUAAAAAUUAAAUUAAAGGAAUUCGGCAAAAAUUUAUAUUCACUUGUUUAUCAAAAACAUGUCUUUUUGGUUAUAAUUUAAAGUCUAAUCUGCCCACUGAUAAUAAUUAAAGGGCUGCAGUAUAUUGACUGUACAAAGGUAGCAUAAUCAUUAGUCUUUUAAUUGAAGACUUGUAUGAAAGAUUUAAUGAAAUAUAAGCUGUCUCUAAUUUAUUAAUAAAAUUUAAUAUUUUAGUUAAAAAGCUAAAAUAAAAUUAAAAGACGAGAAGACCCUAUAGAGUUUUAUAUUUAAUUUAAUUAAAAUAAAAUAUAAAAUUAAGUUAUUUAAAUUAAAUUAAUUAUUAUAUUGGGGUGAUAAAAAAAUUAAAAAAACUUUUUUUUUUAUUAAACAUAAAUAAAUGAUUAAAUGAUCCAUAAUUUAUGAUUAUAAGAAAAAAUUACCUUAGGGAUAACAGCGUAAUAUUUUUUUUUAGUACGUAUAAGAAAGAAAGUUUGCGACCUCGAUGUUGGAUUAAGAUAAAAGUUAAAUGCAAAAGUUUAAAAUUUUGAUCUGUUCGAUCAUUAAAAUCUUACAUGAUCUGAGUUCAAACCGGUGUAAGCCAGGUUGGUUUCUAUCUUUAAUAAAUUAUAAUAUUUUAGUACGAAAGGAUCAAAUAUUAAGAAUAAUUUUAAUUAAAUUGAAUUUUAUUAAUAGUUUUAUA